rnacentral:SRP_RNA from 1 species
UUGUUGGUAUCUCGCAACGAUAUUCGGCUUACUUAGUCAGGUUCGGAAGAAAGCAGCUUGGGUCGAAAUUCUCGUGUGCCGAGAAUAGCUGGCAAUGU